AAGUUCGACGGCGCCGGGCGAGUGGCUGUUGAGCGGCGGCGCGGGAGUUCCGCAGGUUCCCCGUGUCCGCAGCGGAGCCGGAGGCCAGCUGAGCCCGGCCGUGGGAUCCCGGAUAGGAGGAGGAGGGGACCCACAGGACGCGUAAACAUGGACCUGGAAAACAAAGUGAAGAAGAAAAAUAUGUCGUAACUGCAAGUGUGGCCAAGAAGAGCAUGAUGUCCUCUUGAGCAAUGAAGAGGAUCGAAAAGUGGGAAAACUUUUUGAAGACACCAAGUAUACCACUCUGAUUGCAAAACUAAAGUCAGAUGGAAUUCCCAUGUAUAAACGCAAUGUUAUGAUAUUGACGAAUCCAGUUGCUGCCAAGAAGAAUGUCUCCAUCAAUACAGUUACCUAUGAGUGGGCUCCUCCUGUCCAGAAUCAAGCAUUGGUAAAUAAUAUGGGGACAGAGAGUUUCUUUAUUGAAGUUCCUGGAGUAUUUAUUUGGGGCAGUUUCUUUGAUGACCUAAUCAACUUCACACGUCCCAGAUCUGUUAUUCUUCCGGGGUUCUCAUUACUUUGACUUCUGAUUCCUGUUCUAGUCUUUUGAAUGUAAGACUAGAUACUUCAUAAAAUUUUUCCAACUCCCUAGAUAUGUUUACCUUUUUGAGGGAAUGGUCUAACGUUCUUAAUAAUUAGAUGGAAAUCAGAUGUUUUAUAUCAAUCUAGUAACUCUUCUAGCUUAGUCUUGAGAGGAUUUAUCUUAAGAUGGUAAAGAAGAGAAUUUUUGUCAUAGUUUAGAACUGAAAAAAAUAUUCAACAUUAUCUUUGUGUUUUUUUCAUUUCCUUUAUUAAUACUAUAUAAGACCAAAAAGAUCACAGUUUUAUAUCAAGCUCCUUCCACUAUUAUAACAACCAAAUGAAACAUUUGGAAGUCUUUUAAGGUUAAAUCAUUAAAGUGAAUUUUGCGAUAUCAUUUUUU
rnacentral:sRNA from 1 species